rnacentral:rRNA from 1 species
GAUGAACGCUGGCGGCGUGCCUAAUACAUGCAAGUCGAGCGAACAGAUGUGGAGCUUGCUCCUCGGACGUUAGCGGCGGACGGGUGAGUAACACGGGGAUAACCUACCUAUAGGACUGGGAUAACUUCGGGAAACCGGCGCUAAUACCGGAUAAUAUAUUGAACCGCAUGGUUCAAUAGUGAAAGACGGUUUUGCUGUCACUUAUAGAUGGAUCCGCGCCGCAUUAGCUAGUUGGUAAGGUAACGGCUUACCAAGGCGACGAUGCGUAGCCGACCUGAGAGGGUGAUCGGCCACACUGGAACUGAGACACGGUCCAGACUCCUACGGGAGGCAGCAGUAGGGAAUCUUCCGCAAUGGGCGAAAGCUUGACGGAGCAACGCCGCGUGAGUGAUGAAGGUCUUCGGAUCGUAAAACUCUGUUAUUAGUGAAGAACAAAUGUGUAAGUAACUAUGCACGUCUUGACGGUACCUAAUCAGAAAGCCACGGCUAACUACGUG